CUUCUGCUCCCCAUGAGCUGUAUCUGCUUGGCUGAGCUGAUUUCCUGUCUGUGCCAGCACUGCCUGGCUCUUCUCUAGGAGUGCUGAGGAAGAUCUGUGCUAGUAGAAUCAAAUUGGUGUGUUUAUUUCUCUGUCUCCCUCUGUUAAAAGCAAGAAAUUAAAUGAGCCUGAUCAUACCUGAGAUUCUGGAUGCCUAAAAUUUCACUGAAAAUGUUGAAAGAAAGGGGACUGUUAAACAACUUCACUUCUCAACAUUUGUAUUGCCUGAGAUAUGAUGACAGCUGUGAAGUUGAUCCAUGGGUAAAGGUCUAUCCCAUUCUUCAUGAGCCCACUGAGGUUGGCUGGGCAUGUGCUCUCAGUGCUUGUUUUCCCAGUACUCCUUUUGAAGGUGAGCACCAACAUCAGUGACAAGAACUGUCAGUUCCACUCCUCAAGCUUCUUGGCCUUUAUUGUGUCUCAGACAGUAGAAACUAUGCUGGUGUAUGGGACAUCUGGGGCUUACGUCAUAUUGUAUCAACACUGACAACUUAUUAUUUGUUUCCAACCUUACAGAGUUGUUGGAGUCUUUUUUAAGGGUAUUUCCCUGCUGCAUGAGUUGAUCUCUAGUUUACUCAUAUUUUGUGGGUAGGGGAAAGAUGUCAGUAUUUCCAUUAGUUAAAGUUGUGUUCAGCAUUAAGAGUUUGUAAUUACCACAGAAAAGUAAGCAGUAUUGUUGAGGAAAAGGAAAAAUCACAUCUCUCAGAUCCUCUGUUUUUUAUCUAGUUGUCAAAAGCCCCAACAUAAAAGCUGAGGUUUUAUUUUUAUACAUACACAAAAAUGGUAAAUACCCCAGAAAGCUAAUAAGCCAUGAAGUUUAGGAUUCAUUCAGUGCUGUGAUAGAAUAACCAAAACAACAACUAGUCAGAGCUCUCUUGAGAGCGGGGAGGAGCUUGAAAGUUCAUUGUUUGAUAGUCUCAGAAGACUCAAAUCAUUUUCUAAAUUAUCACAGUAUUAGAUCAUUAUCCAUGUCAUACUCUAAAAUGUGGGGCAUGACUUCUACCUCCAUCAUAGAGAAGACAAUUCUAUCUCUUUGUAAAUCUCUUCAGAUUCAGAAAUAAGUUAAAAAAAAAUAGAAAAAAAAGUAAAAAAAUAUGGGAGCCGACUGACUAGAAGGGCCACAUUCUUGGAAACAAGUUGGCUGGGCUGGUUAGCAGGGCUUUAAACUAGAUAUGAUGGGGGAGGGGGUGUACUGUGUGACAGAGAAGCGUGUGGGAAUGCUGUCACCCUGGGAGGUGGUAAGGGAAAACCCCAGACUUGUCCUGGAGGUAUUAGGGAGGGCUCCACUGGUAAGGCAACGAGGCCAAUAGCCAAGCUGAAGUGCCUCUAUACCAAUGCACACAGCAUUGGAAAUAAUCAGGAGGAGCUAGAGACCGUGGCACAAUUGGGAAAGUAUGACCUAAUUGCUAUCACGGAAACAUAGUGGGAUGAAUCCCCGAUUGGAAUACCCUGAUUGAGGACUACAGGCUUUUCAGAAGGGAUAGACAGGGUAGGAGGGGUGGCGGAGUUGCCCUCUAUAUUAGGAAUUGGAUAGAUUGUGAAGAGCUGUGUCUGAGGAACAGCCACAAUCAGGUCGAGAGUUUGUGGGUAAAAAUCAAGGAUCGGUCCAGCAAUGGGCAUCUAGUGGCUGGGGUCUGCUACAGGACAUCUGAUCAGGAGGAGGCUGUGGAUGCGGCCUUCUUGCUUCAGCUGCAGGAGGUGUUGCGCUUGAGGGCUCUUGUCCUGAUGAGGGAUUUCAACCACCCGGAUAUCUUCUGGGAUAGUGGCAUGGCGGGUGGCAGACAAUCCAGGAGAUUCCUGGAGUCUGUCAAGGACAACUUCCUGAUCCAGGUAAUAGAUGGACCGACCCGAGGUGAAGCCUUACUGGAACUGGUGCACACUAAUGCAGAGGAGAGCAUUAGAGACGUUAAGAUUGGAGGCAGCAUGGGCUGUAGUGACCAUGCCUUGAUGGACUUUGUGAUCUUGAAGAAUGCAGGCCUGGCUAAAAGCAGAGCUUGGACUCUGUGCUUUAGGAGAGCAAACUUCCUGCUGCUCAAGGAACUGCUGAGUGGGAUCCCCUGGGAAACUGUCCUUAAGGGCAUGGGUACAGAACAGAGCUGGCAGCUCUUUAAGGACACCCUUCUGAGAGUGCAACGGCUCUCUAUCCCCCAGCAGAAGUCAAGUAGGGGAGGCAGGCAACCAUCGUGGCUGUGCAAGGACCUGCAGCUUAAACUGAGAGAAAAGGGGGGAAUUUAUAGAAGGUGGAAGCAGGUUGUGUAUCCUGGGAGGAAUACAGCGCUGUUGCCCGUGUGUGCAGAGAUAGGAUUAGGAAAGCCAAGGCACAGAUGGAGAUGAACUUGGUGAGGGAUGUGAAAGAUAACAAGAAGAGGUUCUACAGGUUCUACAGGCAGGAGGAGACGGACCAAGUGUUCCCCCUCUGAUGAAAGGCAAUGGGGAGCUGGCUUCCUCAGUUUUCACGGGUUGUCAGGCUUCCCGUGUCUGCCAGGACCACAAACCUGUAUGUGAGGGUGUGGGGAGUGGUUUCUGUCCCACUGUAAUGGUGGAACAAGUCCGAGUCCUCCUCAUGACAUUGAAUGUGUAUAAGUCCAUGGGUCUGGAUGAUAUCCAUCCUAGGGUUCUGAAAGAGAUGGCUGAUGUUGUUGCUGAGCCACUCUCCAUCAUAUUUGAAAAAUCAUGGCUGUCUGGUGAAGUUCCCACUGACUGGAAAAAGGGAAACAUUACUCCCAGUUUUAAGAAAGGGAGAAAGGAGGAUCUGGGGAACUACAGGCCAGUGAGCCUCACCUCUGUGCCUGGGAAGAUCAUGGAGCAGAUCCUCCUAGAAGCUAUGUUAAGGCACAUAUUGGAUGAAGAGGUGAUCUGAGACAGGCAGCAUGGCUUCACCAAGGGCAGAUUGUGCCUGACCAAUCUGGUGGCCUUCUACAAUGGAGUGAUGGCUUCGGUGGCUGGGAGAAGGGCAGUGGAUGUCAUCUACCUGGACUUCUGCAAGGCCUUUGACAUGGUCCCUCACCACAUCCUUCCAGGUUUAGGUUGGAUAUUAGGAAGUUUUUCACACAGAAUGUUUCACACAGUGUGUGGUGACACACUGGAACAGGUUGCCCAAGGAGGCUGUGGAUUCCCCAUCCCUGGAGGUAUUCAAGGCCAGGCCGGAUGUGGCGCUGGGCAGCCUGGUCUAGUGGUUGGCGACCCUGCACAUAGCGGGGGGGUUGAAACUAGAUGAUCAUUGUGGUCCUUUUCAACCCAGGUGUAAGAGAUUAUUCUUUUAUAUGAUUGACUCAAAGUUUGCUGAGGAACAAGUCCAGGCAAGUCCUGGGCAAAGGUAGAGAAAUCUUUUGUGUGGAGUACACUGAUGGACAGGUCCUGGCUAAGGGUUGUGAAAUCCUUUAAGGAGCACAGAUGGACAAGGCCAGGGGCAACGAGAGAGAGAGAUAAGCUGCUGAUAAUGGCUGGGAAACGGUCUUUUGUGUGGACUUAUCUCAAGGAAGAUGGCCAUCUCAGGAGGCACACACAUGACUCUUGCUCAAGCACCCAGGGAUGUCACGUAGGCAAGAAAAAAAAAAGGAGGAUAAAAGAGGGUCCAACAACCAAGAGGCUAGAGGGUUUUCUGCCAUCAGAUCCCUCACCACGAUGGACUCGAGGUUUCUGCCAUCAGAUCCUUCACUACAGACCAUAUGUUGACGGACUUCCCUGGGCCUGCUACCUGAGACCUGCUGCUUCCUCCUGGGCUUACUCGGCGGCUUUUUCCUGGACCCACCCGGUACUUGCAAUCUCUCGUUGCCCAAGACCGGCCUCGCUGCUCCUGCCCUUCGG
ensembl:lncRNA